GAUGAAGAACGCAGCGAAAUGCGAUAAGUAAUGUGAAUUGCAGAAUUCAGUGAAUCAUCGAAUCUUUGAACGCACAUUGCGCCCGCCAGUAUUCUGGCGGGCAUGCCUGUUCGAGCGUCAUUUCAACCAUCAAGCCCCCGGCUUGUGUUGGGGACCUGCGGCUGCCGCAGGCCCUGAAAACCAGUGGCGGGCUCGCUAGUCACUCCGAGCGUAGUAAUACAUCUCGCUCAGGGCGUGCUGCGGGUUCCGGCCGUUAAAAAAGCCUUAUUUACCCAAGGUUGACCUCGGAUCAGGUAGGAAGACCCGCUGAACUUAAGCAUAUCAAUAAGCGGGA
rnacentral:misc_RNA from 1 species